UCUCCACCAUCCGACCACCCCCACGGCUGAGACCAUUUGGGAUUUUAUCGUGAGGGGCCGGAGAUCACAACCAGAUGGAAGCCCAGCUAAGACCACCGCUCAGGGACGCGCUGGGAGCUCGGAAUAAGCCGCGACUGCGCCAUUUUUUUGUCUCCGUUCUAGGCAAUUCCGGCCACCAUUUUUUACGAACCAAGUAUGGAUUUCAAU
rnacentral:lncRNA from 1 species